GAGCCUCUAACUCAAUUCUCUAUCGCUGACGUGGCAAUAUAAUUCCACGUAACCUAUAUUUUAUAUAUACAUUAUUUUAUUUAUUAUUACAUCACAUUACACGUUUUCACCAUUCUCCUCUACUCUCAUUUCCAUUGAUUUCACCAUUCUCCUCUCCUCCACCAGAUAUCCUUCCACCUUCUCCGAUGUCAGCGAUAUUUCCAUCCCCCGGUGAUCUGCCCUCCCGGCGAUUCCACCCACCGGCACAUAACACAAAAAUCCCCCGUCUCAAAUCGACAGCUUCUCCACUCAAGUGGAUCACUCAUAGGAUUUCCUCCCUUCCCCAUCAGAAUCUUAAACCCUAAUCCAUGGCGCUUUCAAAAGAAGAGUCUGCAUCAUCGUUGUCAUCGAUUAAGCUCGGUAAUGAAAUCGAGGGGUAACGAAAUUUGUUCCGAUCUGCCUCCCCACUCCACCAAUUUCUUCGUUCUGCCUCCCGCCGCGAUUCGCUUUGCCGCGCCGGCCACCGUCGAGAUCGACACAGUCCGCCGCCUCGCUAUGGUAAGUAUUCAAUUAGGAAAGAUUAUAUUUGACUAUGAUUAGUACUCAAUUUUAGAAUAAUGAAAUUUUGGAAAGAUUUACCAAUCGAUCAAUAAUCCACCAAUUUUUAGGGUUUAGAUUUAACAAUGGAAAAUUAUUAUGUUAGGAAAGAUUACAUUUUAUUAUGAUUAGUACUAAAUUUUAGAAAUAUAAAAAUUUGGAAAGAUUUUCCUAUCGAUUAAUAAUCAGCAAAUUCUUAGGGUUUAGGUUUAACAAUGGAAACUUUAUAACCUACAUUUUAGCUAUAAAUUCAUUAGCUUGAAUGAGAAAUUUUAUUGCACAUUGAGUUUUACAGCAACACAUUCUACUGUCUUCUUGCUUAUUGCUCUUUUUGUUUAUUUCUCAAGGUAUACAUUAUAUCAAUUUUAUCUAGGAUAAUGGUGUGUUUUGUAUUAACAAAUCAUCUAUAUUAGCCAAUAUAUACACUGCUUAUGUCUGCUCUAUGCUCUAUUGCAGUUUUGACUUGCGAUGCUUAGGUAUUUUGGGUUCACCCGUCUGCACUAGAAAGCGAAAAUGAAAAGGCUGCUGGAAUCCAGUUGGAGUGUGAUCCUCACUUUUGGAUCUCUCUCUCCAGUUGGAUUGUGUUAGCAAGAAGGCAUGAAUAAUAUGAUUGGAAAACUAUGGGAAAGGGUAAAACAAAUGGAGUAUUUGGUUAUCAAAGUCUGUCUUUGUGUUUUGUGACUUUUCACUUGAUAGAUAUUACGUAUGGCUUAAAAUGGAGUAAAACCAUUGUAUAGUUAUUGAUUGUGCUGAAAAUUUUCCACAUAAACGAGCCAAGAUGUUACGUAUGGCUUUGUCUUUGCCAUUUCCUUCUAAUAUGUUUAAUCCCGAUGGCGAACACACUGUUGGAGAUAGGAAAAAUGCAUAUGGAGUGAUAGUUCCUAUAUCCUUAACUGUCUUCUAUGUUUGUUGUUUCACUGAACUUUGGGUUACAAAAAUGAUUAUAGUUUGCUUGGGGCGGAAUUAUUUUAGUUGUUAUAUUGUGAUGUAGUAUUUCACAAUAGAGGUCUAUAUUUAUAGGUGUUUUGAGUUAUAUAAUUAAUUCAUGUAGAUUAAAUUAUAGUAUUAUUGUUUUUCUUUGACGCAGAAAGACAACGUUGUUCGGGUGACAGAUUGUCUCUAACAUUCUCUGGAAUCGCAAGUGAGAAUUUUUUUAAUUUAUGUUGUGUGUUCUUCUUUUGCUUUUUAAUGUAAUUGUUGAUUACUUUGAUUCUUCACACUUCUAUCAUUCAUACAUUUGAAACUAUUAAUGCAGUUAAGUUCAUCUA